GAAAAAAAAAGAAUUGAGCCAUACCAUUUUGAUGGAAAGCCAUAAAAAUAAUUAGUCAAUGAUUUCCAAUUUUUAAGGCCACUUUACAUCUCCUAAGACUUGAUGGCUUCUGGACAAAUCUGUUUAUUUGAACAUUGCGAUUUGGGCAGAAACUGUGUAAUCAAUCAUACCGUUAGCAAGGUGACAUUGUUGGACCCAUGUGCUAUAGUACUCUAUUGUCUACCCUAAGCAAUAAUAAUGGAUUAUUAGAAGGUGACUGUAAUAGGUUCUAGUAAAAGAAUAGAUGAGCAUAAUCUGUAUUAGAACAUAGUAUUAAUAGUUCUAAUAUUAAUAUUUAUAUUAAUAGUUCUAAUAAUAGUUCUAAUGUGGCUAUAACACAUUAAUAGUAACAGCUACAUUUACUGAAAACACUAUAUUCUAAGCACAUACGGAGCCCUUAUGUGCUGUGAUGAUAAUGUAGCUAUGACGUAGAAACUCCUGUUAUGCUCGUUUUACAGAUUAAGAAAAUAAAAACUGCCAUACUAUAUUGUUUUUCAGGACAUAUUUAACAGCUUGCCAUGAACACUUUUCAAAGAAUGAGCUUCAGUGCAUGAAAAGUUAUCACACACUAAAUUCGCAUUUUGCUACAGUGAUUUCCUCUCUCAGAAUGCAAACUUUUACUAUACCAUGAGCCCCUUAAAGACAGAAUCCCCUAUAGCAUCUACUUCAUGUCUUCCACAUAGUAAUUGCUCAAUAUUUAUUGGAUUGGAAAAAAGAUUAGUUUUAUCGUAAUAUGAAUAGAGCCCUAAGAUGCUGUUACAUUAAUAUAGAUUAUUCCUGGUUAGGUAGAAAUGAUAAAAUAAUAUUCAUUUUUAUUCUCUAGGAUUUACAAGUAGAGUUUUUGAAGUUUAAUAUCUCUUUGUGCUUUGGCUAAAGAUUAUAGAGUGGAUAAUCAAAAAAUAUAUGAGCAAGGAACCCUUUUUUCUUUCUUUAUUUUUUCCCUGGAGUUUCUGCAAUUGGCCAGACGUGAUGCUAGGCAUACAGAGGUAUGGCCCAUAUAACAAAUAUAAAGAGCAAUGUAAAAAGUGUUAAAUGGCAGUGCUGUCACGAUACUGUAAAAGCGGAGUGAAAGGUUAAAGGAAGAGGGUUGAGGUUAAGCUUGGGAGCCUGUUUUUCUGGGAAUAUACAGUAGAAAUAUGAUUUCUUUAAAGGAAAUCUGCAACCAGGAGGCAAGGCUAAAGCAGAAAAUGCCAACAGCUGCAGAUCCUAAUGACUGAGAUGUUAUUCUGGUGGAGCACAGUCAGUUAAAGGCAGGACUGCUUAUAAGUGUGAAAUACAUCCAGCCUCCCAGUCAUUGGCUUGCCUGAUGCAUUAUUUUCUUAAUCUCUUCUUCCCGUGCUUUCCCCUGAGACACUCCAGUUUCUGUUGCACACCUUUGCAUGUGCUGUUUUGUGGAACUGAGAGUUCUGGUUAAUUCUAGGACAUUCUGAUAAGAUGUUCUUGCUACUCUUCCCUUGUAGACAGACUGGAUUUCCAUCAGGUGUCAGUAACAUCUAAGAUUUUCAUUUUGUCCUGGGGCUCUACGCAGUUUAACUGGAGCCGCCACAGCUGAUUGGGUGUGUGUUGUCAGUCCCCCAGGCAAGCUCUGAGGGUUACAUUUCUGCUGCUCAUAUUUCUGUUUCUUUCUUCACCACUCAACCCGAGGUGCAAAAGUGCAAAGACAAGUUCAUCAACAAUCAGAAUAACCUGCCCCUGAAUUCUUUCUAAUGAUUCAUUUUCUCAAUCUAGUUUCUAAUUUCAUAUUUGGCAGCUACCACCUGGUAAAUACAUCUCCUUAGCUAGAGGAGGAAAACUUCACACCCAGUUUACUCACCUUUUGUCGUUUUCCCUGGUUCCUGUCAAAGUUGUUGCUUGGUCUGUUUUGUUGCCAUUUGUUUUCCUACAGAUCCCUUUACAACACUCUGUUUUUUAAAAAACUAACAUUUAACUUUAUUUGAGGAAGAUAUUUUAUAUGUUAGAAAAAAUGAUUUUGGGUCUGCUUUUAUUGAAUGUGUUAACUUUAGUUAACCUUUUUUUUUUUUGAGACAGAGUCUCGCUCUGUUUCCCGGGCUGGAGUGCAGUGGCACAAUCUCGGCUCACUGCAGCCUCCACCUCCUGGGUUCAAGCAAUUCUCCUGCCUUAGCUUCCUGAAUUGCUGGGACUACAGGCACGUGCCACCACUUCUGGCUAAAUUUUGUAUUUUUAGUAGAGACGGGGUUUUGCCAUGUUGGUCAGGAUGGUCUCGAUCUCUUGACCUCAUGAUCCAAUCGACCUUCACAGGGAAGGUCUCUAAUGAACUAAACCAACUGAUGUUCAUGGCCCACGUUUGGAGCCUGAGCAAGGUCAUGGACCAUUGAUAUUUCACUCAAAGUUGCCGUAACAGAUUAAAGCGCUUAGUAUGCAAGUAUUCUCCCUGAGCUCUAUAAUGGACUGAGGUCCCCCAUACCAGUGACUUAAGAGUCAAAGACCUAGACCACACCUCAGGGCCUCCAGAGUUGCCGGGGAAAGUGUGAGCUAUGAGUGCUGUUCCCACCAAGAAAUCAGGAGCUUAGCCUCCUGCACAUACUGUUUCCUUAUUAACUAUACUAACAGAGUGGCCAGGGAAGGUAGCAGGGAAUAGAAUCACUUAUACAUUUUUCAGUUACAUGUGCUUUUUCCUUAUUGUGAAUGUAGGAAAUUGUGUUUAUAUCCGAUAGGGAAAAUGAAACCCUUUUAUAUGACUCCAUUACUAUGGCUAAUAAUCAUCAGCGUCCCUGAAUAUAAAUAUUCUCAUGCUAACAAUAUGUUUAAAACAGUGCCUCAUAUGCUUUUAGACAUGCGUUAUUUUAUAGCAUUUUAUUUUAAAAGUUGUGUCAGGUUUAGAGAGGUGAGUCUGCAUCAGGGAACUGAAACUGGUAACCAGCAUUUUUAUUUUUCAGGAUUCUUCCCUUUCAUAUGUUCCAUCUCUUUAUUUUUCUGUGCUGCAUUGUGAUUAAUGGCCUCAGAUCUAUCUUGCAGUCGCUUAAGUCUCUAUGCAGUUAUGUGUAGUUUAUAUUUUCACCUAUUUUUGAUUUGGGGCUUUUAUUUUUUCUUUUGUGUCUUUGAUUUUUAAAAUUUAUUAAAAGUCCCCUUCAGAUUUUUCUAUUGUUUUAGUUACUUUUUUCUUUGAGACAGGGUCUUGCCCUGUCACUCAGGCUGGAGUGCAGUGGCACAAUCACAGCUCACUGCAGCCUUGACCCCCUGGGAUCAGGUGAUCCUCCUACCUCAGCCUCCCAAGUAGCUAGGACCACAGUUGAGAGCCACCAUGCCUGGCUCAUUUUUGUAUUUUUGAUAGAGACAGGGUUUCAUCAUGUUUCCCAGGCUGGUCUUGAAUUCCUGGGCUCAACUGAUUCACCUGCCUCGGCCUCCUUCUUCACCUCUAUUUCUUUCUUCACUACUCAACCCGAGGUGCAAAAGAGGAUAAACAAGUUCUGGGAUUACAGGUGUGAGCUGCUGCGCCCAGCCUGUCUUUAAUUCUUGAAGUAAAAUUUCUCCUAUAUUUGUAACAAUGACUCUCCCGCAUGCUAUUUUACUUCCUGAUUAGGUUGGGAAAAUGUGGCUUGAAAUUCACCUUCAAUGAAGAUUGUUUUCCAUGAGAGUCCUUUUUCCCCUAUGUUGUAGAUCUGCCUCUACCAAGUGGUUUUUAGUACGUUGCUGCCUGUGGUCAUUCAGAUUUCAACAGCGUUAAUAUCUUGGCUUGGUGCUUCCACUAUACAGAAAUAAAUUUGGUCCUUGAGUGCCCAAUGGCACAAGUUUGGAAUUUAUUUUUCUCAUGCAUAUGCAUUUUUACACUCAUGGCUCCAGCCAGAAAGAAAGCUGCCUUACCAUUAUUCUGGACAGGUGGGCAGUUGUCAAGGCUUAUGUUUGUGGAUGAUCAGUUCUGAGUAGCUUCUGGUUUUAAGCUAGUAACUCAGCACAGGGCCUGUAGCCAGGAUUCCUUUCUCAUUUAGAGAAUUCAAUUCCUAGUUCCCAACUGUUAUAUCUGUUUCUGAUAUCCCCGUGAGUCAUUCUGUCUCAGCCUUGCUCACCAGAGGACUUAGAAUUCCCUCCCCGUUAGGUUACUUGGGAAUUUCUCUUCUUUAAAGCUUACCUAUCUAUUUUAUUUUUUAUGUUAAAUUUUAUUCAGUAUUCUCAUGUCUGGAACAAAAUGGAGUUCUUUUAUUAGAACACAGACUAAUUUUGUUAGACCUGAACAAUGUGUUUAAAAUGUUUGAAAGCCUUUAAGUUGGGGAAUACAUGUACUAGCUUGUCACAUGCUUAUCUUAUCAUCAUACUGGCCUUAUGAUAUUCAUACUGGCCUGAUCUUCGUAAUGAUCUGAUGAUAUUCAUAUCACUCUACACAUGUUUUCAUUUGCUUUUUAGACUCCUGUUCUACAGAAAUAGACAUAUAUUAUUUUCUGAAAAUUUAAUUACUUGACCAUUUGAAAAUUGCAUCCUGUUUUAAAAAAUAUCCUGGCAGCUGAGCUGUAUACUUGGUGUAUAAUGUGUGCAGCAUUAGGGGUUCCCCAAUAUUAGUUCCAGAAUAUCUACCUAUAAAAUGAUAGCAAUAUUGGGAUCGAUGAUGUCUACAACAUACUACUAUUUCCUUGUGGUGCAAGAAAGGACGCGGGCUAUAGAGAAAGUCACAAGUAUCAAGUGUUCCUGGGGUUUAGGGACAUAAGACUAAAGAGGACAAGUAUUAUUGAGGUACUUCAGGGCAAGCAUGUAUGCCUUUGUCCCAGUCUUUUUAGGGAACAUUUAGGUUCUUCAGUAACCUAGGCUAGCAAUAUUAGCAUCAAAAAUCUUAUUUUAAGCUGGCUGGAAGGUAAUUUUGAAGAGUCAUUUUGCAAAUUUAUCCUAAUAUCUUAUGUGAUCCUUUCUUUUAACCAAAUGUAAGUGUGAAGAGACAGAGAUUGUCACCAGGAAUAGAGCACUAAUGUACAGCAAUAGACGGUAGAAAAUGGUGGUCCUUUCAAUGAGCCACUACAAAGCCAUCUUGUUUUAAAUUACCUAAAAGUGAUUCUCCAUGUCUGGGAAUUUUAGAAUUACGUGAGAGGCUUACAGCUUUUUAGGCCACAGACCUCCUUCCCUCUUCUUCUUGCCCUUUUUCCUUUGUAUGUUUCUAAGUGUCUAUUGUCCCCCUUCCUCUCCCACUGUUCUAACUACUGCCUAUAAAUAAUUCUCUUCCAGGACCAUUUCUACCCGUUAUGUCAAGAACCACUGAGCUACAGUGUUAAUGCUUGGCCAGUUACAUUGCCCAGUGGCUUGACAUUACAUUCAUUGCCAGCAAUAAUUAUGAACAUUUUUAGCCUAAAAUAUUUAAAUAGUUAUGAAUUCCUGCCUAUUCUACAUAUAGUUUCAAUGAUUAGAAUUAGAGAUCCUGUUUUCCCCCAGCAAUAUUAUAAAACUAAAUAUCUUCCACAUGAUAUCUUACUCUAACCUUGAGUUUUUAAUCAAUUAGUUAAUUAUAUUUACUUGGGAUUUUAGCCCUAAUGGGUCCACAUCACUUAAAAAAAAAAAAGUCUGUCCUCUGCUGAAUAUUCAGAGUUUAAAAAUGGAGGUUUAAUCUCUCUUGGCUGUUGAGUUUGAGCCUUCUGUUGGUUUCAAUAAUCUUUUAAUUAUUGCAGUAUUGUGUGCUGAAUUAUUCUCACAGUGUUAUUGUGGCAGGCCUGGAUUCUUAGCCCAGAAAAUUAGAAUUGUUUUCUUCUCCAGCCCUUCUGACAAUCAUAUUUUUAUACCUGUUCACAGGUUUCCAAAGAUUAAAUGUGAUCAACACUGAUCUCCAUAUUUUCAAUUAAAAUCUUUGUGAAAUACCACUUGAUUUCCAGUUGAAGUAGUAGUAAACCAUAUUUUCUCAAUGUAUGUGUAACUUCUCCAUAUCCUACUAUAUAUAGGUCAAUGAACUGAAAAUUUGGGUACCAUUCAACUUGGGAAGACAACCAAUAUAAAACAAAGAAAAAGUUAACUAAGAACAUUCUAGCUAUUGCUGAUAAUCUGAAAAAAAUUCUGGAAUGCUCUGGGGGCAGGAUUCAGUCUAGCAGCACGUAUAUAGUUUAGAGAAACUCUACAGGAUGUAGAUUUUGAAAAUAAAUAGAAACAAAUAAAUUUAACAUUUAUUAAUUUAUUGGACAACUACUGUGCUAAGUGAUUUACAUAAGAUUUCAUUUAUUCCUUGUAAGAGUUGCAUAUUUUACAACUAGGUAAGGAGGUAUUGACAGUUUUAUAAAUGAGGAGACUGAGGGCCAAGAGAGUUCAAAUAACUUACCCUAGGUCACUACAAAUAGCAAGAUUCUAUUUGAUUCUAAAAUUCUUUUCAGCAGACUAGUCUUACAAAAUCCUCUGUUCAGUAGUUUGUAUCUAAGUAGUUUAAAUAACUGAGAGGGGAAUUUGUUUCUAAACUUAAACACUGGAAAUCAAUAUUGUGCUCUUUUGUUAUAUGCAGUAUCUUAGGACUGCUGAAAUUCUAAUGGGUGAGGUUUCCCACUUGUCUGAAAGAGAGUAUUGUACACUGAUUGGGAUUAGGAGAUAAUAGUUUAGUUGGCAGUUUCUUUGGACAUUUGAUAUGGGCAGUAGAGAAGGAAUAAAUUAGCCAUUUUGGAAUAUGGUGAAAAUUAAUAGUAAAAUUAAAUAGCACAUAACUGAAAACACCCUUAUCCUAUAGGAAAUAGGACACCCUUACCCUAUAGGAAACUUUUGCUUAGAUUGAAAUAUAAGCAGCAGUGCUCAUAUAUUUACAGCAGUUUCAAAUUCAAAUGAAUCCUACUUUAAAAUGUGUUCUAUCUAUUCCACUGAAUUGUUAUCUGAUGGGAAGGUGGAAUGUAAUGCAGUGGAAUGUAUCAUUAUCUGAAACAGGCAUGGAGCAGUUUAGAAAUUUGCUCAAGGUCACACAAUUUAGCAGAGCUGAGAUUCAAACUCAAGUGGCCUGGCUCCAAAGCCAUUCUUCUAACCAUGACACAACUUUUUUUCUUUUCUUUUCUUUUUUGAAACAGGCUCUUGGGGUCUUGCUCUGUCACUUGGGCUGGAGUGCAGUGGUGCAAUCACGGGCCACUGCAGCCUUUAUGUCCAGGCUCAAGUGGUCUUCCCAUCUCAGCCUCCUGAGGGCCUGGGACCACAGGCAGCCAGAGAUUAGACAUAUUUGGAAUUAUUUCAUGCAUCAAGAGAAGCAACUGGAAUCCCUAGAGACAUGAAUACAACUUCAGGAAAGAAAUCUGCUUUUCUAUUCUUUGAUGACUGACCUAGGCUGUGUGGCUAGCUCUUCUCCUUACUUACAAAAUUAUUAUCCCAUAAAAAAGCACUGGAAAACUAGAGUUUGGAAAGCAAUGAAAAUGAAGCAGUUGCCUCGUAGAACUGGAAGCUCAACUUCAUGCCUUAAAUGUGGAUUUUUUUUUCUAAGUUCUUGGGGUGGUCCGGUAUCAGAGCUCAUAAUCAGACCCUCAGAGAAUAUGGCCAGUAUCCUUCUAGCUUGGAUUUAGAUCACAGAUCAGCUGUGACUAUUGUCACAGUUGCUAGGCAACGUUUGUAUGUUUAUUUCGAGGCCUACCCACAUGUUGCAUCAGAGGCCAAAGCUCAUGUGCUCUGCACUCCUCAGAACAAGUAGAGCUCUUUAUUUUUAACUAAACUGUUUCCUUGUAAUGUAUUUUAUGAAUGUACAGCCUACUCUGCCAAGCUGUAGUUAUCUUCAGUUUCUCCCUAGUAGUCCCAAUUCUCUAAAUUUUUGCAUUCAACUUCAUCUAACCUGUUGCAUUCUGGACUGAAUAUCUCUGGUACUUUCCUACCCCUAAGUCUUGUGCAAGCUGUUUUGCUCACCUAGAAUGCCUGCCUGAUCCAGCCUCUAUCUACACAUUUUGUAAAAUCAAGAUAUUUUGUUUUAAUAUUUGAUAUGAGGGCAGUCAACUUGUUACAGCAAAAAGUUCAUGGACAUUAUUGUCAUAUCUGUGUUCAAAUUCAGGCUCUGCCCCUUCUUAACUGUGUAAUCUUAGAUAAGUUAUUUAACUUCUCUAAGCAUCACUUUUCUCAUUGAUAAAAUGCAGAUAAUGUUUACCUAUCAAGAUUUAUGAAGAUAUAUUGAAAUGAGAUACAUAGAGCACCUGUCACAGCUCCUGGUAUUUGGAAGAUUCUAUAAGUCCCCACCUCCCUGUAGAUGACACUACAAUAAGCAUCCAAUAAAUAGUCCCUGCCUUGUCUAUGAAGCCUUUCCUAACCAUCUUCCAAACCAGCACCUCAGAAAUAGUCUCCCUCUUCUGACCGCCUGUAGCAUUGUAUUGUACCUAAGAUCUUAUCACAGUCAAACUUGUCAAAUACUAUGUUCUGAGAUACAAGUUGGCACUGUAACUAGAUCUGCUAGCACAACACCAUAUUCUGCCCAAAAGAGAUGGCUGAACUUCAUUCAUAGAUGAUCCAUUGUUUAUCUUUCAUCAGAAUCACACUUUCAGUUAUCAUAAACACUAUACCUUGUUAGAUGACUCUAUUGCAGGUCUCUUUAAAAGCACCAUUAUUAUACUUAAUAAUUAAAGGGAUUGUAAGAAUGUAUGUCAUGGUGUGACAGCUUGGCAAACAACAGACAUCUGAAUAUUCAUUUCCUGAAGUGAAUAAUCCAUCAUUACAGAAAGAAAAAUGGAAGCCUGUAUUCAAUAGACCUAUAAAAGGUGUUUAAAGAAUGUCCAUGUCUUUCUUAGAAAAGCCCCUUGUGAGCAGCCUUGUUUUGUUGCGGUUGUCUUACAGGAAGCAGCUCAGGGUUUUGCGUAUAUGUGUUUUAUUUUUAAGUUGUACAACUCCUGGUUGAUGACAGUCAUAACGUAAAUGACCUAAAGUUUAAAUUGCGUUAUUCUAAUCAGUUUUCUGACCUCUGCUGUCAACAGAAUUUCUGACGAUCAAAUAAUAAAACUCAGACAAUAUUGGUUUUGUGCCAUAAAA